UACGGAGGGGGCUAGCGUUGUUCGGAAUUACUGGGCGUAAAGCGCGCGUAGGCGGCUUUGUAAGUUAGAGGUGAAAGCCCGGGGCUCAACCCCGGAACUGCCUUUAAGACUGCAUCGCUUGAAUCCAGGAGAGGUGAGUGGAAUUCCGAGUGUAGAGGUGAAAUUCGUAGAUAUUCGGAAGAACACCAGUGGCGAAGGCGGCUACCUGGACAGAAACUGACGCUGAGGCGCGAAAGCUAGGGGAGCAAACAGG
rnacentral:rRNA from 1 species